UAAGCUCUUGAAACUGGGAGACUUGAGUGCAGGAGAGGAGAGUGGAAUUCCUAGUGUAGCGGUGAAAUGCGUAGAUAUUAGGAGGAACACCAGUUGCGAAGGCGGCUCUCUGGACUGUAACUGACGCGGAGGCACGAAAGCGUGGGGAGCAAACAGGAUUAGAUACCCUGGUAGUCCACGCUGUAAACGAUGAGUACUAGGUGUCGGGGGUUACCCCC
rnacentral:rRNA from 1 species